GGUCUUCAACUUCAACAAGUCGGCGAUGAUCCUUUUCCACCCCUGCCUACCACUGGCAUCACCUCUCUUCGUCCCUGUGAAAACCUAUCGAACAAUAAUAGUUUUUCUACUAGGUCUUUCUCAUCUGUAUUACCACAUUCUGCAGAUUUUCCACCCAUAACAAAGAAUGGUAAUUGCAAUAAAUUGACGUCACUUAGUGAUUCUGGUUUAGUUAAGGUUCUCGAGGAGAAGGAUCUUGAUUUUGCCUUCAACCAUCUCAAAUAACUUCACAGCUGGGUUGACGAAAGUUUGAUCGAGGAUAUCAUGGCCUCUGUGAAUAAUGAUAUUGAUAAGGCC
rnacentral:misc_RNA from 1 species